rnacentral:rRNA from 1 species
GGUCAUUUAGAGGAAGUAAAAGUCGUAACAAGGUCUCCGUAGGUGAACCUGCGGAGGGAUCAUUACACAAAUAUGAAGGCGGGCUGGAACCUCUCGGGGUUACAGCCUUGCUGAAUUAUUCACCCUUGUCUUUUGCGUACUUCUUGUUUCCUUGGUGGGUUCGCCCACCACUAGGACAAACAUAAACCUUUUGUAAUUGCAAUCAGCGUCAGUAACAAAUUAAUAAUUACAACUUUCAACAACGGAUCUCUUGGUUCUGGCAUCGAUGAAGAACGCAGCGAAAUGCGAUAAGUAGUGUGAAUUGCAGAAUUCAGUGAAUCAUCGAAUCUUUGAACGCACAUUGCGCCCUUUGGUAUUCCAAAGGGCAUGCCUGUUCGAGCGUCAUUUGUACCCUCAAGCUUUGCUUGGUGUUGGGCGUCUUGUCUCUAGCUUUGCUGGAGACUCGCCUUAAAGUAAUUGGCAGCCGGCCUACUGGUUUCGGAGCGCAGCACAAGUCGCACUCUCUAUCAGCAAAGGUCUAGCAUCCAUUAAGCCUUUUUUUCAACUUUUGACCUCGGAUCAGGUAGGGAUACCCGCUGAACUUAAGCAUAUCAAUAAGCGGAGGAG